UACGUAGGGCGCAAGCGUUAUCCGGAAUUAUUGGGCGUAAAGAGCUCGUAGGCGGUUUGUCGCGUCUGCCGUGAAAGUCCGGGGCUCAACUCCGGAUCUGCGGUGGGUACGGGCAGACUAGAGUGUGGUAGGGGAGAUCGGAAUUCCUGGUGUAGCGGUGAAAUGCGCAGAUAUCAGGAGGAACACCGGUGGCGAAGGCGGAUCUCUGGCCAUUACUGACGCUGAGGAGCGAAAGCGUGGGGAGCGAACAGG
rnacentral:rRNA from 1 species